rnacentral:misc_RNA from 1 species
GAUGAAGAACGCAGCGAAAUGCGAUAAGUAAUGUGAAUUGCAGAAUUCAGUGAAUCAACGAAUCUUUGAACGCACAUUGCGCCCGCCAGCAUUCUGGCGGGCAUGCCUGUUCGAGCGUCAUUUCAACCCUCGAGCCCCCCCGGGGGCCUCGGUGUUGGGGGACGGCACACCAGCCGCCCCCGAAAUGCAGUGGCGACCCCGCCGCAGCCUCCCCUGCGUAGUAGCACACACCUCGCACCGGAGCGCGGAGGCGGUCACGCCGUAAAACGCCCAACUUUCUUAGAGUUGACCUCGGAUCAGGUAGGAAUACCCGCUGAACUUAAGCAUAUCAAUAAGCGGAGGA